GGGGAGGUGAAGUGAUUUUUCAAUGCCAGAUCACGUCGCAACUCAGUAUCACUUGCCGAUUGAAGAGUUCUGCCGCCCCUGAAAUAAAGGAAGGCGCGCUCUUAAUCAAGAGAAAUUCGAUGCUGCCUGCAGAACCGUGAAAUUCGUGAAUUUUUAAUUUUUCCGCAAAUUAGUGAAGUUUUCAAUAUUACCCCUCACUCCCCUCCACUCGAAGCCCUCCUACAGUCACGGCUUGUUGACAUGUGAUUUGGCAGCAUUGGCGGCAUCAAGAAGCAAUCUCAUUGGCUAAUCAAAUUAAUUUCAAAAUGGCCGCUGGUGGUAAGUUCUUUGUGUGUGUUUAUUUUUAACUUCAGCCUUGUCGGCUUUUAUGUUUCUCCAAAACGUUCAUUCAUGUUCCUUUCAAAUUUUAAGUUUUCACGAUAUUUUGUUUGAAGUUCAUCUCAUAUUCAUCAUGCCGUGAUUCGGUCGCAGUUUGUGAUCUAUUUCUUCUGCGAUACUUCGGUUCUGUUUGGCGGGGCGCCAUGAUGGUCUGAAGACGUCCUCCGUACUUGUUCGGGCUUAUUUCGUGAAAAUACCGCUGGAUAAGCCCCGCAUUCAUGUCUCCAUUUAUCGGUACAUGAGUAAAACGGACCGAAGAUGAAUAAUCAAGAGCAGCAUCAUCCUGCUCCAAUGAGCUCUGCCUCACAUCCGGAAAGAGGCGAUGUCAACAACCGAGAGGCACAUGCCUCUAAUGUUGUGUCGAACGUUGCUAAGUAUUGGGUCUUGACGAAUCUUUUCCCCAAUCCCAUGGCACAGAUCCCGAUGUCAGGAAACCUGGCCCCUCUAGCCCUUUCAAGCACAACCAUAACAGCAAGUGGAGACUCGGGGACCAGUGAUAGUCACACAACAACUACCCAGAGUAUGAAAGGCAUAAAAGUUUUAAGUAAAUCGGGUUCAAAUUCAUCUCAGCAGAUUGAAAAUUCAGUUCAUUGCCAGCCGACGGUCCAUGAAAUCCCACAAAUGGAUGGUGCCCACGAGCAUCAGCUCAUCAGCGGCCUUACUCCUCAACAGCAUCACCAAUUAGUGCAGCAGGUAUAGACAUUUUAAAACCUAAUUCAUAUAUUCUACUGAUUUUUUCCAGCAUGUUGAAGUCUUUCCUUUCAUGUAAUGUAAAUGAGCAUGAACCAUUUCCAUCUCACUUUAAAAAAAACGCUAAUUAGUCUUACCGCGGGGGGGGGGGGGGGGGGGGGGUUUCCGUGUAUUUUUAUCCUUCCUGCCAAGAUAUAACAAACUCUUGUUUGUUUUUAGAAAUUCACUUUUGAUGAAAUCGCUCUUAAUGUUAUCUUAAAAUUUUGAAGGAGCCCUGAAUUUCAGCCUAGAUGUGUCUCUGAAAGCCUAACAGAGGCCUCUGAGAUUUCUAAAUCCAUUUUGCUUGUUUUCUCAGGCAAACUCUCUGUGGAGCUUCGAAGCCCCCUACUGAGAUGAACCAAGAAUAAUCAAGAAAAAAGGUGUGAGAAGAGAAAAUGGUCCCCAAUUUGGAGCUCCUGUCAGGCCUCCCAUGAGAAGUCGUUUGCUGUCAAUCUUUGUAAAAAUGCCCCAAACUGAGGAAUUUAUGUACAUAGAUAGGAUGUCAGCAUAUAGACGAAUAUGUGGUUGCACCGUUUUUGCAACUUGCAGAUGCCACAUUCAGUGUCUUUACCUAGUGUGACAGCUCUAGACUCUUAAAAUUUUAUAGAACCCUCUCACUUUUAACGCCAUUUAAAUCUCCUGCCAUGAAUUUUAAGGGCAGUUUCAGUAGGAAUUGAUUUAAGAUGAGGAAAAAGUAUACCGUAACACGCAUAACAUGUUGUUGAAGUGAUUAGCUUGGAUGCAUUUCGGGCCCAUCUAAUGAUGCAUCCAAAAUCCAAAUGCGUCCAAGCUAAUAAAUCACUUCAACAACUAUUAUGCGUGUUGCGGUAUACUUUUUCCUCAUCUUUAUCAUAACAGCAAGCAAGAUGCGUUUUUCCAGUUAGGAAUUGAUUCUCAAUCUUUUCGUUUUCUCAGGUUGCUCAGCAUCAGGUUUUGGCAGAACAGCAACAGCCGCCCUCUGGAAAUGAUCAGUCAUCUCAGCAACAACAACAGCAGCAGCAACAACAACAACAACAACAACAACAACAGCAGCAGCAGCAACAGCAGUCUCAGCCUCCUCCACCCCCACCGCCCCCCUCCUCACAGCAAAGUCAACCGAGCAGGUCGCAUUCUUCGUCAGAAGUCAAGAACAGUACAU
rnacentral:lncRNA from 1 species